AUGCAGGGAGCCCGACUUGUGGGAAAUGAGGGAAGAAAGUUGCAGGUUACCCAAACACAGGUUGUCCAAGGCAGGUUUCGGCCCCCUAACCACGAGAUUUUUUUUUUUUUAAUCUUUUUUAUUUUUUUUAAAGAUUUUAUUUAUUUAUUUAUGAUAGUCACAGAGAGAGAGAGAGAGGCAGAGACACAGGCAGAGGGAGAAGCAGGCUCCAUGCACCGGGUGCCCGACGUGGGAUUCGAUCCCGGGUCUCCAGGAUCACGCCCUGGGCCAAAGGCAGGCGCCAAACCGCUGCGCCACCCAGGGAUCCCCCACGAGACUUUUUUAAAGAUUUUAUUUAUUUAUUCAUGUGAGACACAGAGAAAGAGAGGCAGAGACACACACAGGCAGAGGGAGAAGCAGGUUCCAUGCAGGGAGCCCGACGUGGGACUAGAUCCUGGGACUCGAUCCCCUGGGUCUCAAUCCUGGGUCUGGAUCCCCUGGGACUCGAUCCUGGGUCUGGAUCCCCUGGGACUCGAUCCCGGGUCUGGAUCCUGGGUCUCGAUCCCCUGGGACUCGAUCCCGGGUCUGGAUCCUGGGUCUCGAUCCCCUGGGACUCGAUCCUGGGUCUCGAUCCCGGGUCUGGAUCCUGGGUCUCGAUCCCCUGGGACUCGAUCCUGGGUCUCGAUCCCGGGUCUGGAUCCUGGGUCUCGAUCUCCUGGGACUCGAUCCUGGGUCUCCGGGGUCACACCCGGGGCCGAAGGCAGACGCUCUCCCGCGGAGCCACGCAGGGGUCCCCUAACCACGAGAUUUUCAAGAGCGCGGUGUCCCGAUGGCUUGACCUCAGUGCCGUCAUGCGGCCUGGCCUUUUGUCCGUGCUGCACUCUCCUACUUUAUCUCCUACUCAUCAACCCAGACAGACAUAGGGGCAAACGGCCACGAGGAUGUCAAGACCCUGGGAGGUAUUUGUUAAUGGCCCACCUAGAAGGCAUCUUCGGCGGUUCCCGGUGGGACGCUGGGCUGGCACGGAGCCGGCGGGAGGUUUGUUUCGAUUGCGGGCAAACCCCGCCCCCCGCGCCCAAUUCCCCGCUUUUAACUUUCCUUCCCGCGGCCCCCGAGGCCGCGAAGACCAGUUCCGUGGUCCCUCCCACCGCUUCGGGCCGCGGCGGCCGCGAGAACACAGGAAGGAAGCGCCCACCCCCGGACCCCGAGGUCCCGCCGCACCUCCGCGCUCGCCCGAUGCAUUGUGGGCGCUGUAGUCCGGCCGGGACCCGUUGGCGACUACAAGUCCCGUGA
rnacentral:lncRNA from 12 species